rnacentral:rRNA from 1 species
CAGUAGCCGCGGUAAUACGUAGGUGGCAAGCGUUGUCCGGAAUUAUUGGGCGUAAAGCGCGCGCAGGUGGUUUAAUAAGUCUGAUGUGAAAGCCCACGGCUCAGCCGUGGAGGGUCAUUGGAAACUGUUAAACUUGAGUGCAGGAGAGAAAAGUGGAAUUCCUAGUGUAGCGGUGAAAUGCGUAGAGAUUAGGAGGAACACCAGUGGCGAAGGCGGCUUUUUGGCCUGUAACUGACACUGAGGCACGAAAGCGUGGGGAGCAAACAGGAUUAGAUACCCCCGUAGUCCCUGUCUCUUAUAC